GACGAACGCUGGCGGCGUGCUUAACACAUGCAAGUCGAGCGAUGAAAUCCCUUCGGGGAUGGAUUAGCGGCGGACGGGUGAGUAACACGUGGGUAACCUGCCUCAAAGAGGGGGAUAGCCUCCCGAAAGGGAGAUUAAUACCGCAUAACAUGGGUUUUUCGCAUGGGAAACUAAUUAAAGGAGUAAUCCGCUUUGAGAUGGACCCGCGGCGCAUUAGCUAGUUGGUGAGGUAACGGCUCACCAAGGCGACGAUGCGUAGCCGACCUGAGAGGGUGAUCGGCCACACUGGAACUGAGACACGGUCCAGACUCCUACGGGAGGCAGCAGUGGGGAAUAUUGCACAAUGGGCGAAAGCCUGAUGCAGCAACGCCGCGUGAGUGAUGAAGGCCUUCGGGUUGUAAAGCUCUGUCUUUUGGGACGAUAAUGACGGUACCAAAGGAGGAAGCCACGGCUAACUACGUGCCAGCCGCCGCUGUAA
rnacentral:rRNA from 1 species